CCUCCUGCUCCUGCGGCGCGGACUCCGUCGGUGACUCCCGAGGAGGAGGAGGAGGAGGAGGAAU
rnacentral:miRNA from 1 species